rnacentral:rRNA from 1 species
GAAUUUUGGGCAAUGGGGGAAACCCUGACCCAGCAACGCCGCGUGAAGGAUGAAGUAUUUCGGUAUGUAAACUUCGAAAGAAUGGGAAGAAUCAAUGACGGUACCAUUCAUAAGGUCCGGCUAACUACGUGCCAGCAGCCGCGGUAAUACGUAGGGACCAAGCGUUGUUCGGAUUUACUGGGCGUAAAGGGCGCGUAGGCGGCAUUGUUAGUCACUUGUGAAAUCUCCGGGCUUAACUCGGAACGGCCAAGUGAUACUGCAGUGCUAGAGUGCAGAAGGGGCAAUCGGAAUUCUCGGUGUAGCGGUGAAAUGCGUAGAUAUCGAGAGGAACACCUGAGGUGAAGACGGGUUGCUGGGCUGACACUGACGCUGAGGCGCGAAAGCCAGGGGAGCAAACGGG